UCUGGGCCUUUAUCUGGGCCUUUAUCUGGGCCUUUAUCUGGGCCUUUAUCUGGGCCUGUAUCUGGGCCUUUAUCUGGGCCUUUUGUCCAGGUGAUCCGGGCCUGUCUUGUCCAGGUGAUCCGGGCCUGUCUUGUCCGGGUGAUCCGGGCCUGUCUUCUUGUCCGGGUGAUCCGGGCCUGUCUUCAUGUUCGGGUGAUCUGGGUGGGGUCAGUCGGUCAUCCAGGUGAUCGACCGACCCCAAAGUGCUGCAUGUUUAAUGACGACAGACACAGGUCUCGAUGGCUUGAACCCCGGGUCACAAGACUUGCGUUAGCUUCCUGAGCGAAAGGCUGAGCCUAGGCAUUAUCUCUAAGAGCUAAACAAGUCUUCAUGUUCACAGAAUCACCUCCGUUACAUAAACCUCCACAACGUCUGGUCACAUGACUCCAGUCCCAUCUCUCUCCUCUUCCCGACUCUAUCCUGACCCAAUCUGAGAUGGGUUGUACCACCCUGAGGAGAAGUUGGCCCUAACCACAAAUCUAGGAUCAGCUUCUUCCCUCUUAACCUUAAAGCAUCGAGGGGAAACAUAGAACUGAUUCAAGAUCAGCGUCUGUCAGCCCCAUGUGUGUAAAUAUAGCAGGAUAUUUCUCCAACGCUGCUUCUACCUUCCUGAGUCUCGCUCCUUUCUUUGUGUUGGGGGGGGGCUUAAAUUAGAACAGCCAUGGUCAAAACAGAGGGAGGAACUGAAUAUUAAAUUAGAACAGCCAUGGUCAAAACAGAGGGAGGAACUGAAUAUUAAAUUAGAACAGCCAUGGUCAAGAGGGAGGGGGGAACUGAAUAUUAAAUUAGAACAGCCAUGGUCAAAACAGAGGGAGGAACUGAAUAUUAAAUUAGAACAGCCAUGGUCAAAACAGAGGGGGGAACUGAAUAUUAAAUUAGAACAGCCGUGGUCAAAACAGAGGGGGCUUAAAUUAGAACAGCCGUGGUCAAAACAGAGGGAGGAACUGAAUAUUAAAUUAGAACAGCCGUGGUCAAAACAGAGGGAGGAACUGAAUAUUAAAUUAGAACAGCCGUGGUCAAAACAGAGG
ensembl:lncRNA